UACGUAGGGUGCAAGCGUUAAUCGGAAUUACUGGGCGUAAAGCGUGCGCAGGCGGUUUUGUAAGGCUGGCGUGAAAUCCCCGGGCUCAACCUGGGAAUUGCGAUGGAGACUGCAAGGCUAGAAUCUGGCAGAGGGGGGUAGAAUUCCACGUGUAGCAGUGAAAUGCGUAGAGAUGUGGAGGAACACCGAUGGCGAAGGCAGCCCCCUGGGUCAAGAUUGACGCUCAUGCACGAAAGCGUGGGGAGCAAACAGG
rnacentral:rRNA from 1 species